CUGACCAGUGUCGGCUAAGGUUAAUGUACUUUUUCUUCAACUACACAUUAAUACCUAAGUCUCGCCACCUUCUGUACCAAAUGAUCCUUGCACUGAAGAACUAGCAAACCUCAUUGCUAAAGUUAUGUCCUAUUUCCAGACAAACGUCAGCCGAAUCUAUGACGGUUCUAAGGUAGCUUAAUUCCUUGUCGGUUAGUUUCCGACCUGCAUCAAAGUUUGAACAAUUUACCUUAUGUCACACUUUAUUAUUUUGGAAUUUGUUUCUGUUGUCAGGAUCCAGCAGUGCCGUCAAAAGACAAAAAGACCCUAUGAACCCUUU
rnacentral:rRNA from 1 species